rnacentral:lncRNA from 1 species
UCAAAGGUAGACUUGGGCUUUUAUUUUGGGGUGAGGGUACCCCAAAUGGGUUGUGCCAUUUUCACAUAAAAAUUGGAAUGAUAAUGAACAAGUGAAAGUGAAAUCAGUUUCCCUCCUUUGUUCAAUAAACAUGGUUAGAGCACCUGUGUGCAAGAUAGUGGGACAGGUGCUGAGGGGAAAGGUAAAGCUGUUUAAGCUGUGGCCCUGAGCUGAAGGAGCAAUCUAGCAGUGCCAUCAGGCCCUGCACACUGCAGAGCACAGUGUCCCAGGGGCCAGGUGGAGGGAAGGAUCACUUCCGGCUGCAGCAUCAGGGAAGGCACUCUGCAGUCUCCCCUCCAGGUUCUCAGCGUGCCUCUAUGCCUGUGUGACUGCUCAGCCUGCCCCAUUCCAGGCACUUGCUCAUCUUCCUUAUCUUUCUCUGUAGCAUGAGAAAUGGAAGUUUGAGAGGAUAGGAUCC